rnacentral:rRNA from 1 species
CCUACGGGAGGCAGCAGUAGGGAAUCUUGCGCAAUGGGCGAAAGCCUGACGCAGCAACGCCGCGUGAACGAGACGCCCUUCGGGGUGUAAAGUUCUGUCAGUGGGGACGAAAGAUGACGGUACCCACAGAGGAAGCACCGGCUAACUCCGUGCCAGCAGCCGCGGUCAUACGGAGGGUGCAAGCGAUGUCCGGAAUCAUUGUGCGUAAAGAGUUCGUAGGCGGUAUUUUAAGUCUGGUGUUAAAUGCAGAAGCUCAACUUCUGUUCGGCACUUGAUACUGGCAAACGAGAGUGAGGUAGAGGGAAAGGGAAUUCCUGGUGUAGCGGUGAAAUGCGUAGAUAUCAGGAGGAACAUCGGUGGCGAAGGCGCUUUACUGGGCCGUAAUUGACGCUGAGGAACGAAGGCCAGGGUAGCAAAUGGGAUUAGAUACCCGAGUAGUC